ACAGAGGGUGCGAGCGUUGUCCGGAAUCACUGGGCGUAAAGGGCGCGUAGGCGGCCGAGCAAGGUCGCGGUGAAAGCCCCCGGCUCAACUGGGGAGGGUCACGCGAUACUGCUCGACUCGAAGGCAGGAGAGGGAAGUGGAAUUCCCGGUGUAGUGGUGAAAUGCGUAGAUAUCGGGAGGAACACCAGUGGCGAAGGCGACUUCCUGGCCUGUUCUUGACGCUGAGGCGCGAAAGCUAGGGUAGCAAACGGGA
rnacentral:rRNA from 1 species